UACAGAGGGGGGCAAGCGUUAUUCGGAAUUAUUGGGCGUAAAGGGCGCGUAGGCGGCUUGGCAAGUGGAUGGUGAAAUCCCUCGGCUUUAACCGAGGAACUGCCGUCCAAACUGCUUUGCUUGAGGCCGGGAGAGGUGAGUGGAAUUCCCAGUGUAGCGGUGAAAUGCGCAGAUAUCAGGAGGAACACCGAUUGCGAAGGCAGCUCGCUGGAACGUAACUGACGCUGAGACGCGAAAGCGUGGGGAGCAAACAGG
rnacentral:rRNA from 1 species